rnacentral:tRNA from 1 species
GCAUUGGUGGUUCAGCGGUAGAAAUCUUGCCUUCCAUGUGGGAGACCUGGGUUUGAUUCCUGGCCAAUGCC